GAUGAACGCUGGUGGCGUGCCUAACACAUGCAAGUCGAGCGAUUCUCUUCGGAGAAGAGCGGCGGACGGGUGAGUAACGCGUGGGUAACCUGCCCUGUACACACGGAUAACAUACCGAAAGGUAUGCUAAUACGAGAUAACAUGCUUUUAUCGCAUGGUAGAAGUAUCAAAGCUUUUGCGGUACAGGUUGGACCCGCGUCUGAUUAGCUAGUUGGUGAGGUAACGGCUCACCAAGGCGACGAUCAGUAGCCGACCUGAGAGGGUGAUCGGCCACAUUGGAACUGAGACACGGUCCAAACUCCUACGGGAGGCAGCAGUGGGGAAUAUUGCACAAUGGGCGAAAGCCUGAUGCAGCAACGCCGCGUGAGCGAUGAAGGCCUUCGGGUCGUAAAGCUCUGUCCUCAAGGAAGAUAAUGACGGUACUUGAGGUGGAAGCCCCGGCUAACUACGUG
rnacentral:rRNA from 1 species